rnacentral:lncRNA from 1 species
AUCAUUCAUCCCCAUGUACGACAUUGUACUCCCAAUCUUCUCUAGAUUUAUGAUAGCCUUGAAGCUGUUGAUGUAUCUCACUGGUAGGGGUCCAGAAAAAUAAUUACUUGAGAGGUCAAAAAUUUGGAUUUUAGAGAAAAAAGGGCUAGACUUGGAGCUAUUGACACAUAAGGGACCAUGCAUAUGAUUUGACUUCAAUACAAGAACUUGUAGCUGUGGAAGACUUCCCAACCAAUGAGGAAAUGUAUCAUUGAUCUUGUUGUUACCAAGAUCUAGCACUUCCAGACCCUUACAAUUAAGGAUGGAUGGUGUCAAGGGCCCUUCUAACAGAUUUCCAUUUAAGUUGAAAUUAGUCAAUUGGCAUCCCUCUGCAAAUGUUGGAGGAAUCGUCCCAUAAAACUUGUUCUUCUUCAGAUUCAAGAAUUCAAGGCUGUUGCUCAAAUUUCCAAAACAUUGUGGAAUUGUUCCACUCAAGUUAUUGUGGGACAAAUCAAGAAUUUGAAGAGAACUGGCAUUGCAUAUUAAAGAAGAGACCUCUCCAUUGAAUCUAUUAUUUGAGAUCAGAAAGACAUUGAUUGUCGAAGCUGGAAUCGGAAGAUUUCCACGGAUCAAAUUGGAGCUUAAGUCAAGAAAUUCAAUAUUCUUCCAUGGAAAGUGCUCAACUUCUGUCAAAGAGUUGUGAGAUACGUUUAAGAAAGUCAAAGAGUCAUUCCCCAUCUCUUGCAUCCACUGUGGAAUCUUGCCUUCAAUAUUGUUGCAAGAGAGGUCUAAGCUUUCCAAACUUUUCAGCCCUUUUAAAAACUGGGGAAUUCACUAAGAUUGCAAGAUGACAAAAAUAAGUCUGUAAGAUUAACAGUAGAAGUAGUAUUAAAUGUUAAGGAUAGGCUGUUACAUGAAAGGUGGAGAUAUUUGAGAUUUGGAAGGUUUGAGAACAUGCUAAACUCUAUGACACCACUAAGGUUAUUUGAGGAUAAAGCAAGCGAUGUAAGAUUGAGAAGUUGGAAUAUUGAAGAUGGAAGAGGACCUUGGAGUUUAUUAUUCUCUAACCAUAUCCGUUCUAGUGAUUUGGAUUGGAAUUCUUUGAUAUGCCCACUGAAUUGAUUUUGAGAGAGAUAUAUUGUCUUUAAGGAGGGAGCAGUAUACAACCAUGACGGAAGUGUUCCGUUGAGUAAAUUGUCAGAUAAGCCUAAAUAUAUUAGGUUAGUAAAUUGUCAGAUAAGCCUAAGUAUUCAAGCUGCGUUAGGUUUAGAAUUGAUAAUGGAAUUUGUCCACUCAAUUGGAUCCCCGAUAAGUCUAAUUGAGUGAGCUGCAAGAGGUUCCCCAAUGAUCUUGGAAUUUGUCCACUCAAUUGGUUGCCUCCCAUGUAGAGGAGAUUGAGGUUUGGCAAAUCAAAAAUGUUUUUUGGGAAUUUUCCUUGCAAACCACAACCAGCAAGACUGAGAGACCUUAGAGAAGAGGAUAGAUUCAUGAAGACAUGAGCAUUAACAGAAGACAUGUCCAUUCCAUCCAAAAACAGAUGUCUGACCUCGGUUAGGUUGUGAACAAGUCCCUCCAGAGCAUGUUUGUCCAUUCUAUAUUGCAUAGAGAAAGCAGGCCAAGAGGAGAGAUCGAGUAAAACCAAUUUUGACAGGUGGGAGACUUGGGAUGGGACUUCUCCUACAAACCCUGUAUAAGAAAGGUUGAGGUAGAAUAGGCUUGUAAACUGACCGAAAUCGGAUGGAAUUUUGGAAAGAUUAAAAUCAUUGCCGGCAAGGUUGAGUUUUUGAAGGUGAGGAAGAAGGAAGAGAGUGGUAUUGGAAGGGAAGGUGCCAUAUAGGCAACUGCAGCUCAAGUCAAGGGCAAUAACAUGAGCAUUUAGGUGGUCACAAGUGACCCCAUCCCAUGAGCAGCAAUCUGUACCCUCCUUCCAUGAAUUUGUCUUGGGAUAAGAUUUAGGGCCGCAAGACGAAUAAGCAGCCUCUGUUAUGGAAAAAGAGUUCUUGAACUGGAUUAGUAAAGAGCAGGAGUGAGAUCCUGAAGAAGAAAAAGAAGCAUAAAGAUGGGGAAAGAAGAGGAAUAGGCAGAGAAAGAGACAGGGGGCCAUGUUAUGUUGGUAGAGGAAGAUGAAGGAUAGGAAUGGUAUUUAUAGGCAACAAAUAAUACCACAACAUUGGUGUUAGUCUUUUUUUUCUUUAACAUUGAAAAGUUAUGGAUGCUUUUACCAUAUAUUUUUCAUUCUCAAAAUUGGAUGCUUUUUCUUUUAUUUCAUAAAAACGUGUAUACUUUUAUAUGCUUUUUGUUUUAGCAAAAUUUUGUAUUUCAUAAAAAUGUGUAUACUUAUAUAUAUAUAUAUAGCCUCAUAAUUCAAAUCUAAAAUCUCAUUUGUUAUAAAUUUUGAUAAAUCAAAGGGUGAUAAAUUAGGCCCGUUUAAAAUAUGAGCUGGGUUUAGGCUUGAACAUUCAAAGCUCGAGCCCAGCCCGGCCCAUUUUUAAGUGUAUAAUACUUUAUAUUUUAUAAUUUAGAACAGAUUAAAAAAAUAAACUUAUAUUAAAUAUAUAAUAAUACUAUAAUGUAAACAUUAAAAUAAUGUUAAGAUGACUAUAUAAAAAUUUUCAAUAAAUAAAAAAUAUUUAAAUUAUUAAAUAUUAAAAUAAUAUAAUAUAAAUAUUUAAAAAAAAACUAAAAAUUAUAUGGGCAUGCCUAAAAUGAGCUUGGGUUAGUCUUUUGCAAAUAUGGAUGAGUUUAGGCAAAAUUUUAAGCUCAUAUUUUGGGCCGAGCCGAGCUUGAGCAAGCAUAAAGUACGUUAAUAUCAUGCUUAGGCCUGACCUGGCCAGGCUCAUGAGCACCUCUAUAGUUGAGUGACUAGAAUAGAACUAAAGGAAUAGUUUAGUGAUUAUUUUUGUAAUUGACCCAUAUGAAAUUUAGGUUAAUUUCUGCUAUUAGUCCUUAUACUUUGCAAAAGUUGUGGACUUAAUCUUUAUACUUUAAUUUGGUCAUUUUUAGUUCAUCUACUUUUCAAAUUUUAAAAUUUUAGUCAUCACCAAACAAUAACCGUUAAAUUUAUUAAGUUUUGUUAUUUUCAAAAAAUGAUGCGACAAAUAUAUUAGGCUUAACUCAUAAAUCGGUAUCUAAAUUAUACUCAUUUUCCCAUGUUGGUACCUAAACUUAUUUUUGGUCACAAGUGGUACAUAAACUACUUUUUUUCCCAAGUUACUACUGCCAUUAGUCAAAAGUCUAUUUUAGAAAUAGGCUUAACCCAUAAAUUGGUACCUAGACUAAAAUUUGGUACCUCCGUCAUUAGUCAAACCGUUCAGUUUAUAUGAAAAAAAAAUUAACCAAUUAAAAAUUGACAUGUAGUAAAAAAAACUAUUAUUAUUUAUAUAAAUAUAAAUGGAGAGAACUAGUUCAACCGAUUUGUUUUUGUUCGCAAGUCAAUCGAUUCAAACCCUAUUUCCGGACCGAUUUCCUAUCCAACUAGUUGAAUCAAUCUGUUUUUGAAAACACUAGUUUCCCUCAGGUCAGAGAAGUAGGUGGUGAAAUUCAAAACCAAAAUUAAUCACCAACGUUUCGACCUCAAGUGGGCCAAUUUCAAACAUUAUCGGCAUUGUCAAACAUUAUAAAGGAAUAAGAAAGAAAAAUAUAAAAAAUUAAUUAAUUAAUAAUUAUUUUUAAAAGUUUAUAUGACAUACAAUCUAUUAUUUGUUGAAAUCUUUUUAGCCGAUAUAACAUUUUGGUGUAAAAUGAGUAAUGGAAGAAUAGUUUUAGUAAUACUUAUGGCCAAAAUAAAAAUUAGGUACCUUGGGAAAAGGAGCAUUGUUUAGGUAUUAAUUAUUAUUAAUAUUAUUUGAAUCAAGACUAAAAUUUCAAAUUUCAAAAAGUAAAUGGUUUAAAAUUGACCAAUUCAAAAAAUACAAUGACUAAAAUUGAUCAAAUUAAGGUAUAAGGACUAAAUCCAUCAUUUUCGUAAAGUACAGAGACUAAUAGCAGAAUUUAACCUAAAUUUUAAUAUAAAUAAAAUCCAAAGUAGAAUAUAUUUUUUGAUAACUACAAUACAUUUAUGAGCAAGGAAAAAAGGAAGACUUACAAAGAUAAACACAGUAAGAAUGAAAAGAAUAUGGGGAUAAUUUACACAAAUUCCUUCAAAAACCAUAGCUUUUGGAGGUGAAAUUUAAUCAAAGGAAGAAUGAAAGCUCAGGUUUGGGAGUAAAUGAUAACAUACUUUCACCAAAAAGUUCAAAUAAUGAUGCUAACAAGUUCCCCGGGUCUGUGUCUUCCUUCCAAGCCUGAGCUAGAACGGUUGAUGUCUUUGAAACUCGACCCCCAACCUCCCUUCCUAGCAUGUUUUCGUUUGAUAACGGCCGUGACAUUGAUGAUACACCGAUAUUGGAACCUCCUACGGUGGUAGAAAAGCCGCUAACUGCCCCUUGUAAAUCAGUUUGAAUGGAAUUUAUUGGCAUCAUACCUAUUGCACUCUCAGUUGCUAUUUUCUUCGCAGGUGGUUGCUGCUGCAUCAAGGUGUCCGUGCUUGCUUUUCGUUUAUCUUGAUUGAUCAGAAAAAGGAAUAUCGUAAAGGGGGAGAAGAGACUUGUGGAUUAAGUGUAAAUAUGAUGGUUCGAAGAAAUCAUACUUGUCGCAACUUUGUUGUUGCUUUUCCAGAUGGGACGAGUUGGGGGUGCUAGAAAACUGGGGAACAUUUUAAGCCGAUCAUACAUGCACAGUCCAGCUGCACGCUGUUAGUGGAAAUUUUAUGCAGUGUUGUUAGUUCUACAGCAAAUAAAUGAAACGAUGCUCAUAAACUGGUACCAAAUUUGAUGUUAAACUUACCAGCAGGGCCCCAUAAACACACCAGGCCUCGUGUCUUUUUAUUUCAGGUUCAAGAAGCUGCAAAUACGCUUCAAAGCAAACAUGAGAGGGAAAUUAUUCAAAUUCCGUGCAACCUGAGAUAAAUGUGGCAAAAAUGUAAGCUUGAGAUAACCAACCAAAAGUUCUUUGCAACACACAUAUAUAAUGAGGUAUCAAAGAUCUUUAAGACAACCUCAUCCGCAAUGAAAUAUGUAAAAUAAGGAACUAAAGGAUGUAAUCCCGAGUCUGUUGCCAAACUCAGUAAUGCUUGUUUAAAGAGAACUGAGACUGAUUUAUUCAUGGUAAUGUCCACGAUCUUGUCAAAGUAAAGCUGCAUGACAACCAAAUUAGUCUUUUAAUAACAUUCUGUGCAAAAUGUAUUUUAACAUAAAAAUGUUGCUGAAGAUGUACAACAUACUUGAAGCUCUCUAGAUAAUACAUGCUUAACAGGUAAUUUGACAUCAACGGAAAGCCCAUCUUCUUUGUAUUCAGCCUUUUUACCAUCAGAAGGUGCUGCAUGGAAAGCAAACUACCAAUUCCAUGUAGAAAUGAAGAUAAGUCGUAUUAGAUUAAAGUGAUAAAACCAGAAAAGAACAUGAACCAUGAGAGUAUUCAACACAAAUAGCUUCGAGAAAAUAUUUAGGUUAGCUAAGACGGUACCUUCAAUUGAAGCAUUUUCGGGAAUUGCUGGUUGAAUGCCUUCAAUCGCAAGCCAGUGGGAUGUAACAGAUGUAUCAAGUGGUGCUUUUGGUAAAGGUGACUCAAGAACCUACAUACAUAAGGCAACAUAGGAAUUUAAGUGAAGACUUAUUUAAUAAGGCAACAUACAACAGAACCUCGAAUAUUGUUGAUCAGUUCUUACUUCUUUAAACUCCACAUCUUUGUCAUCAAUGUAGAACAAAUCAUUAUGCUUCUUGAAUCGUAGUGCAUCACGAGAGGCAAAUCCACAUAUCGGCUGAUGCCAGAGAAACACAUAACACAAGCCAAUUAACCAAAAUGCAAAAUCUAAAGCAGCAGGUUAAACUUACUACGAUUGGAUUGCAUCAUUUUAACCAGCGUUUUUGGAUUGCAUCAUUUCGAGUUUUGUCGUUCGGGUUUGACAAUUAAUUCAAAUCAUUUUAAGAUCAUGUCAUUUUGGAUUCAAAUUAUCACUUCUUUAUAAUCAAAUCGAGUUGCGUUAAGUUUAAAUUCAAAUUAAUUCAGUUUUACUACUUACUAAAACUUAUGUUUCUCAAAAUAAUUUUUUCAAAUUAAAAUUUAUUAAUUAUUUAAAUUAAGAUGUUAUUUUUUUAUUCUUUAUAUAUGUUUUACAAUUCGUGUUCAAGAUCGGUGGAUACCGCACACAACAUUAUUAUCUCCAACGUCUGAAUACGCAUUAUCUCCUUGAGAAUGUAAUAUGAUUUGCCACUACGCCAAACACUUGUUGGUAUCUAAAAUGGAUAAAAACACAUUUCUCGUCCCUCUCAAUUUCUAUAUUGAACAAAUUGAUUCCUCUCAGAAAAUUAGAGCAAUUUAAUCAUUAUCAAUUUUGAAUGGGAGCAACUAAGAACAAUUAAUCAUUGUGUUAAUACUUUCUGUAAAUUGUAUAUAUUUUUUAUUGAUAUAAUAACAAAAUAAGCUCUCGAUGUUUAUAUAUUAUAUGUAAAUGUUAAUAGAAUAUGUAAUUGUUGCGGGAUAAAUUUGUUAAAUCAAGAUCAAAUUAACAGAAUAUGUAAACAAGUUUAUAAACUUGUUAUUAUACCAAUAAAAAUAUGUACAAUUGAUGGAAAAUAUUGACAUUGUGAUUAAUUGUUCUUAGUUGCUCACUUUCGAAAUUAACAAAGAUUAAAUUGCUUUAAUUUUUUUUAAAAUGGACCAAUUUACUUAAUAUCAAAAUUGAGAGGGACUAAAGAGGGUUUUUACCAUCUAAAAUGUUAUCUAAUACAAGAAAAACUUAACAACUAUUUUUUAAUUAUGAAAAGGUAAACUACAUAAUUAGCCACUGAACUAUGGGUAAAUCUUCGUUUUGGUCACUUAACGAAAAAAGUUACAAUUUGGUCACCCUAUUGUUAAAUGACACUUUGUAGUUGCUAUAAUAACAAUUCUAGUAUUUUGUUUUUAUAAUUUUUUUUGCCAAUUUAAAAAAUAUAAACUUCUGUAUAAAAAUUAUAAAAAAAACUCAAAAUUAUUUUUAAAAAAUAUAAACUUCUAUAUAAAAAUUCUAGAAAAAUAAAAUCUCGAAUAUGUUGUUGUUGAAGAACUAAUAUGUAUGGGAAAUAAAAAAAAUUAUCAUUCAAUAGAAUCCCAUAACAAAUUAAAAACAGAACAAAACAAAAAAAAGGUUAGAUCAUUAUACGCUUCCUCAAUGUUUUUUGCAACCAAAUUAGUAAAAUUUUCAAGUUGAGUUUCAUGCCCUUGAAGAACAUCCGUAACUAUAUUACAAAAGCUUACAAAAUCAACUUUGAUGCCAUUUUUCUAGCAAAAAUAUAAAAUAUACCACAAAAUUUUCUUUUUCAAACUCAAUUCGAAUUUUCAAUUCAUUUAAAUUUAUUUUUAAAAACCCAAAUUAUAAAAGCAGAUUAUAUACAGAUAAUUUUACUUAAUCUUUUUUUUUUUUACUUUUUUCUAUGUUUUCUAAAAGAAUGGAUAUUAGAUAUUUCUUUACAAAUAAUACAAAGAAAAUUUGGAGGGUUUAAAAAUAAUAUUUCCCUCAUUUUCUCUCACUUUAUUUAUAUUUGAAAUUUUUAUCUACUUUCAUUUAAUUUUUAAUUUUUAGAAUUUUGUAAAAUUUAAAAAGAAUUUCACUUUUGUAAUCAUUUUAUAUAAUUAGAGUUAAAUUGACAGAAAGUAUAAAAAUUGAGGAUAAAAAUUAUUAUUAUACCAACUAAAAAGUGUCACUUAAUAGUCAGGUGACCAAAAAAGUUGUAAACUAUAAAAAUAGUCACCCAACUAUUAAAAUUUCCAAUUUAGUUGCUAAACUUUUUGAAAUUAAAUAUUUUAAUCACUUUCCCUUUAGUUGUCGUUAGAUGAGUGACGGAAAGCUGAUGUGGGUUUUUUUUAAUUGAUUUAAUAACAAAUUUAACCUCUAAUAUUUACCAAUGCAACUUUUCACCAUAGGAAAAACUUUCUAACAGACUACUAAACAAGAAAUUAUGAAGACACAGCAGAAAUGCUUUAACUUCAUUUGAACCAACUAGAUCCUUCUUCAUCCAUUGAUGCGAUUGCUAUAUUUCGGCUUUCUUCUUCGCCUCUUCUCAUGUUGGUCUUCAGCCAAAUUCACGAACCUUUUCGCCUUACCGGUUUGGAAAACAACACAUCCCAUGGCCAUUCCACAUGUUGGAAAAGGAUUACCCCUACCGUUAUAUUUUGUCUUCUCUCAUCAAUGAUAUUGCGAUACCCAAAGUUUGGUAUCGCGAUAUCUACAACAGUCUUGGGGAUCCUUGGGAGUUUUGGGUAUCGCGAUAUCUUAUGACCGGUAUCACGACAACACUGUUGAUGGCUCAAUCUUCCUUGUUUUUAACAUUGUUAUGGGUAUUACGACUUUCAUGCUUUGAUCUGCGAUACCCUCUUUCUAGGUAACAUUUUCGCUCCUUCCAGGCCACCAUGGGCUCUCUGCAUCACUCAUCAACCUCAUUAGAUUCCCGGAGUGCCAUUUGGCCAUCUUAGGUCUUAAAAUAGCAUCAAAAUGCACACUAAUCAUUUAUUAAUAUAAAGAACUAAAACAAAAUAAAAACGCAACAAAGAUAUCUAAAUUGCUCGAAAAUAAACUUUUAAGUGUGAUGGAGAGCCUAAUUUGACAUAUCAAUUUAUAGCAAAUCAUAAACAUUAUUUGCGGAACUUGUUAAAAUUUCAGAUUUCUUUAUUAGUUUUCUUUCAAUAUUUUGUACGGUUCAUUUGUAGUAAUAUAUUGUGCAGAUCAUAGGCUAAAUUGCUUUAUUAGUUUUCUAUUGUUGAUCUUUAUUAUUAUUAUUAUUAUUAUUAACACUACUUCCUUUUUACCAUAUAAUUUUUAUUCAUAAAAAUGAAGAGUUGAUUUACCCAAAAUUUGUAUUUCAUUUGAACUCCCUAAAGAAUGAAGAACUGAAAUAAUUAGAAAUUAUUUUGACUUGCUCUUGCUUCCUUUCUAUGUAUGAAUGUGGAAAUUGGCAUAAUGCCAACUUAUUUUCCACGCAGAAGAAGAAAAUGGUGCUCUAUUCACUCCCUUUAACUCAGCAACUUUGUAAUCAUUCUAUAUAAUCAGAGUCAAAUUGACAAAAAUUAGUAUAAAAAUUGAGGAAUCAAAUUAUUAUUAUGCCAACUAAAAAGUGUCACUUAAUAGUCAGGUCACCAAAAAUGUUGUAAACUAUAAAAAUAGUCACCCAACUAUUAAAUUUUCCAAUUUAGUUGCUAAACUUUUUGAAAUUAAAUAUUUUAAUCACUCUCCCUUUAGUUGUCGUUAGAUGAGUGACGGAAAGCUGAUGUGGGUUUUUUUAUUGAUCUAAUAACAAAUUUAACCUCUAAUAUUUACACAUAGGAAAAAAAUUGAAAGACUUCAAAACAAGAAAUUAUGAAGAUACAACAUCAGCACUUGAACAUCAUUUCCACUAACUAGAUCCUUCUUCGUCCAUUGCUGCGACUGCCAUCCUUUGACUUUCUUCUUCGCUUCUUCUCAUGUUGGAUUUCAACCAAAUUCACCAACCAUUUCGGCUUACCAGUUUGGAAAACAACAUAUCCCACGGACAUUCCCAACACCACUCCGCAUCCAUAACCUAUCAACACCACUUUCCAACCAAAAGUAAUGUUUGAUUUUGAGCCAUCUUUUUCAAGCACAUUUGGAGGUGCUGGCUCAAUGAUGUUGCAACCUUUCGAGACCGGAAAUCCACAUAAUCCCCUGUUCCCUUCAUAUGAAUCAUUUCCAAAUGUGUUGAACUGUUUGCCUUGAGGAAUCUGACCAUGGAGUUGAUUUUCAGAAACAUUGAAGGACGAAAGAAAUGGCAGAUCUGCCAAUCUAAUUGGAAUCGUCCCAGACAACCUGUUUGAAGAUAGGUCCAACCAUUCAAGAUUUGUCAAAUUCCCUAUUGAGGUGGGGAUACCACCAUUAAGGUUAUUAUGAGAAAGGUUGAGCCCUUUCAGUAAGUUAAGCUUCCCAAUAACCUUUGGAAUACCCCCUUCAAACUGAUUGUUUGAUAGAUCAAUGAUCAUCCACAUGGUGAAAAUUUUCACCAAUUCCAUAUCUUGUCCUUUCAUAACAAUUCCAAUGGAAUAGGUAUAGAAGCCACUACCUCGAGGAUCAUUCACCCCCAUGUACGACACUGUACUACCAAUCUUCUCUAGAUUUAUGAUAGCCUUGAAGCUGUUGAUGUAUCUCACAGGUAGGGGUCCAGAAAAAUAAUUACUCGAGAGAUCAAAAAUUUGGAUUUUAGAGAAAAAAAGGCUAGACUUGGAGCUAUUGACACAUAAGGAACCAUGCAUAUGAUUUGACUUCAAUACAAGAACUUGCAAAAAUGGAAGACUUCCCAACCAAUGAGGAAAUGUAUCAUUGAUCUUGUUG